rnacentral:lncRNA from 1 species
CCCACCUGGGCCCCCUGUGAUUGGCUGCACCUGGCAAAAAGGCUUAACAAAUUCUGACUGUAGGCACUCGAUAUCCAUGUUCUUCAGUCUGCCACCUUCCCAUUACAUUUGAUAAAUUACUUCUUUGGAGGCAGGACAUUUUCUCAAAGAAGCUCUGAUUGACAACAUUCCGUGCUGGAAGUACCUGGCCACCACAAACAAG